rnacentral:rRNA from 1 species
AGAGUUUGAUUAUGGCUCAGGACGAACGCUGGCGGCGUGCUUAACACAUGCAAGUCGAACGAGAAUCUGUGGAAAGAGGAUUCGUCCAAUUGAAGCAGAGGACAGUGGCGGACGGGUGAGUAACGCGUGAGGAACCUGCCUUUCAGAGGGGGACAACAGUUGGAAACGACUGCUAAUACCGCAUGACACAUAGGUGUCGCAUGGCACUUAUGUCAAAGAUUUAUCGCUGAAAGAUGGCCUCGCGUCUGAUUAGCUAGUUGGUGAGGUAACGGCCCACCAAGGCGACGAUCAGUAGCCGGACUGAGAGGUUGAACGGCCACAUUGGGACUGAGAUACGGCCCAG